GACAGAGGGUGCAAACGUUGUUCGGAAUUACUGGGCGUAAAGCGCGUGUAGGCGGCUCUGCAAGUCAGGUGUGAAAUCCCACGGCUCAACCAUGGAAGUGCACUUGAAAACUGCAGGGCUAGAGUCCUGGAGAGGAAGGUGGAAUGCUUGGUGUAGAGGUGAAAUUCGUAGAUAUCAAGCGGAACACCGGUGGCGAAGGCGGCCUUCUGGACAGUGACUGACGCUGAGACGGCG
rnacentral:rRNA from 1 species